AGUGAACGCUGGCGGUAGGCCUAACACAUGCAAGUCGAACGGCAGCACAGUAAGAGCUUGCUCUUACGGGUGGCGAGUGGCGGACGGGUGAGGAAUACAUCGGAAUCUACUUUUUCGUGGGGGAUAACGUAGGGAAACUUACGCUAAUACCGCAUACGACCUACGGGUGAAAGCAGUGGUUCUUCGGACCUUGCGCGAUUGAAUGAGCCGAUGUCGGAUUAGCUAGUUGGCGGGGUAAAGGCCCACCAAGGCGACGAUCCGUAGCUGGUCUGAGAGGAUGAUCAGCCACACUGGAACUGAGACACGGUCCAGACUCCUACGGGAGGCAGCAGUGGGGAAUAUUGGACAAUGGGCGCAAGCCUGAUCCAGCCAUACCGCGUGGGUGAAGAAGGCCUUCGGGUUGUAAAGCCCUUUUGUUGGGAAAGAAAAGCAGCAGGUUAAUACCCCGCUGUUCUGACGGUACCCAAAGAAUAAGCACCGGCUAACUUCGUG
rnacentral:rRNA from 1 species